rnacentral:rRNA from 1 species
GCCUGCUAGCCGCAGUAUUUUGACUGUGCUAAGGUAGCAUAAUCAUUAGUCUUUUAAUUGAAGGCUGGUAUGAAUGGCAAGACGAGAAAGAAGCUGUCUUUGAAUUUCAUUUUUAAGUGAAAAAGCUUAAAUGUAUUUAAGGGACGAUCAGACCCUAUGGAGCUUUUUUGUUGGGGCGACAAUAAUUGAUCCCUAAAGAAGGAUUAAAAGACUAAGUUACCCUAGGGAUAACAGCGUAAUUUUUUUGGAGAGUUCAAAUCGAUAAAAAAGUUUGCGACCUCGAUGUUGGAUUAGGAAUUUAACUAGGUGCAGAAGUUUAGUUGUAGAGUCUGUUCGACUUUUAAAAUCCU